rnacentral:rRNA from 1 species
AGAGACAGCAGCCGCCGCGGUAAUACAUAGGUGGCAAGCGUUGUCCGGAAUUAUUGGGCGUAAAGCGAGCGCAGGCGGUUAGAUAAGUCUGAAGUUAAAGGCUGUGGCUUAACCAUAGUACGCUUUGGAAACUGUUUAACUUGAGUGCAAGAGGGGAGAGUGGAAUUCCAUGUGUAGCGGUGAAAUGCGUAGAUAUAUGGAGGAACACCGGUGGCGAAAGCGGCUCUCUGGCUUGUAACUGACGCUGAGGCUCGAAAGCGUGGGGAGCAAACAGGAUUAGAUACCCCAGUAGUCCCUGUCUCUUAUACC